rnacentral:lncRNA from 1 species
AAAAAUCCUGAAAGCUUGAAGCAUCUCAUGCUAUGGAACCACCGGAGGGGAGAAUAAUGAAGUGUUCCAUAUGUGGUCAACCUGGACACAAUGCUAUCGGUUUUACAAAGGUAAUACUUGUUUUCAAUACUGUCAUUUUAUUCACCUAUUUACUAUUCUAUAUGCCUAUUUACUAUUACCUAUUUGGUAAAUAGCAUUCUAAGAGAAAUAAAAACCAAUGGCAAGUAAGAAAAAGUGCAAGGAAGCAAAUAAGCAAAGAUGUUUAGCAACUCAAGACAGUAAUGAUGGACAACCCAUAUUACCACUUGCCUCAAAUAUAUCAGAUGAGGAGGACAUACAACUUUCAGCACCACUGUUCAGUCAGCAAGUCAAGUAAGUCAGUCAAGUCAUCCAGUAAAAAACUCAAACUUUCAGUUUAUGCCAACUCCAUCAGUCCAAAGGAAACCUCCCAACAACACUGUCCGAC